rnacentral:rRNA from 1 species
UACGAAGGGGGCUAGCGUUGCUCGGAAUUACUGGGCGUAAAGGGCGCGUAGGCGGAUAGUUUAGUCAGAGGUAAAAGCCCAGGGCUCAACCUUGGAACUGCCUUUGAUACUGGCUAUCUUGAGUUCGGGAGAGGUGAGUGGAAUGCCGAGUGUAGAGGUGAAAUUCGUAGAUAUUCGGCGGAACACCAGUGGCGAAGGCGACUCACUGGCCCGAUACUGACGCUGAGGCGCGAAAGCGUGGGGAUCAAACAGG